GGNAUCAAUGGUUUGACGAUAAAAAAACUGUCUUUCUUUACUGGCUUUUAAAUUAUCUUAAGAGUGAAGAGACUCUUUUGUUAUAGCGGGACGAGAAGACCCCGUUGAGCUUUAACGAGUAUUAUUAGUUUUAUAAUUACUGGUUUUAGUUGGGGCAACUAUUUCUCUUUAUUAAACAGAAAUAAAACUAUCUCGAAUUGAAUCAAUUAUGACCCCUAAUUAUUAGGAGAAAUAAAAUAAGUUACCACGGGGAUAACAGCGUAAUUUUUUUUGAGAGUUCUUAUUGACAAAAAAGUUUGCGACCUCGAUGUU
rnacentral:rRNA from 1 species